rnacentral:rRNA from 1 species
UACGGGGGGGGCAAGCGUUGUUCGGAAUUACUGGGCGUAAAGGGCUCGUAGGCGGCCAACUAAGUCAGACGUGAAAUCCCUCGGCUUAACCGGGGAACUGCGUCUGAUACUGGAUGGCUUGAGUUUGGGAGAGGGAUGCGGAAUUCCAGGUGUAGCGGUGAAAUGCGUAGAUAUCUGGAGGAACACCGGUGGCGAAGGCGGCGACCUGGGUAGAUACUGACGCUGAGGUGCGAAAGCGUGGGGAGCAAACAGG